CCUACGGGUGGCAGCAGUCGAGAAGCAUUCACAAUGGGGGAAACCCUGAUGGGGCGACGCCGCGUGGGGGAAUGAAGGUCUGCGGAUUGUAAACCCCUGUCAUGUGGGAGCAAAUUAAAAAGAUAGUACCACAAGAGGAAGAGACGGCUACCGCUGUGCCAGCAGCCGCGGUAAUACAGAGGUCGCAAGCGUUGUUCGGAACCACUGGGCGUAAAGGGGGCGUAGGCUGUUUCGUAAGGCGUGUGUGAAAGGCGCGGGCUCACCCCGCGGACGGCACAUGAUACUGCGAGACUAGAGUAGUGCAGGGGGAACCGUAAUUCUCGGUGUCGCAGUUAAAUGCGUAGCUAUCG
rnacentral:rRNA from 1 species